CUACGGGCGGCUGCAGUAGGGAAUUUUCGGCAAUGGGCGCAAGCCUGACCGAGCAACGCCGCGUGAGUGAUUAAGGCCUUCGGGUUGUAAAGCUCUGUUGUAAGGGAAGAACAUUCAGGAUAGGAAAUGAUCUUGAACUGACGGUACCUUACCAUAAAGCCACGGCUAACUACGUGCCAGCAGCCGCGGUAAUACGUAGGUGGCAAGCGGUAUCCGGAAUUAUUGGGCGUAAAGGGUGCGUAGGCGGUUUAUUAAGUCUAUGGUGAAAGUGCGGGGCUCACCCCCGUAUGGCCAUAGAAACUGGUAGACUUGAGUGCAGGAGAGGGCAAUGGAAUUCCAUGUGUAGCGGUAAAAUGCGUAGAUAUAUGGAGGAACACCAGUGGCGAAGGCGGUUGCCUGGCCUGUAACUGACGCUGAAGCACGGAAGCGUGGGGAGCAAAUAGGAUUAGAUACCCCGGUAGUC
rnacentral:rRNA from 1 species